AUGUCCCCCGACCGGGGAGGAGGGGGUAACGGGUCUUUCGCUGGGGGCCGGUUCUCUGAGAGGAGUAACCGCUCCUCGUGGACCGAGAGGUCACAGAGCCGACGGGGGGAGAGGAGCAGGAGGAGUAGGAGCAGGGAGAGCAGAAUAGCCCAAAGGAGAGAGAGUCUUCAGAGUGACAGGUCUUGGACCAGUCGUACCAGCACAAGACUCAGGUCGAGGAGUAGGGACAGAGAAAGGAGAGACAGGAGCAGAGAUAGGAGGGACAGAGGCAGGAGCAGGGACAGAGGCAGGAGCAGGGACAGAGGCAGGAGCAGGGACAGAGGCAGGAGCAGGGACAGAGGCAGGAGCAGGGACAGAGACCGGAGCAGGGACAGAGACCGGCGGGAUGGGAGCAGAGACCGAGAUGGGAGCAAGAGAGAGGGGUGGAGGGGUUCACCCACAGAGGCUAGUAGGGGGAGAUCCAGAUCAGCCAGCCCUGGAGAGUUCUCUAAGAGGAAGAGACAGGGGAGCAGGAGCCCUGGAGAGUCCUCUAAGAGGAAGAGACAGGGGAGCAGGAGCCCUGGAGAGUCCUCUAAGAGGAAGAGACAGGGGAGCAGGAGCCCUGGAGAGUCCUCUAAGAGGAAGAGACAGGGGAGCAGGAGCCCUGGAGAGUCCUCUAAGAGGAAGAGACGGGGGAGCAGGAGCCCUGGGAAAACAUCCCAAAAAGACAAGCAGCCAGCCAACGACAGCAGCGACACAGCUCCAUCACGCCACAAACACUCCAAAAAAAGCAAAAAGAAGAAGAGCAAGAGGAGGAAACCCAAGAGGGACAAAAAGAGCCAGUCGGCUGGGGGUCAGAGUUCAUCUGCAGAGUCGGGGAAGGAGUCUUGGGACGAGGAGAAACCCUCUCCAAACCUUGUAGACAGCAGUACACGGACUCCUCAUGAGGUAGACAACACUACCCAGGAGACUGUGGAUGUAGACAGCAGUACACGGACUCCUCAUGAGGUAGACAACACUACCCAGGGGACUGUGGAUGUAGACAACACUACCCAGGGGACUGUGGAUGUAGACAACACUACCCAGGGGACUGUGGAUGUAGACAACACUUCCCAGGAGACUGCUAGGGUAAAUGCCAUACUUAGUCUCAUGUUGUCUGAGUCUCUUGAUAAUGCCAAUGCAGUCACUUCAGACAUACAGACCCAGGUCAAGGAGGAGCCUGAGGAUCCCUGUCCACCUAUUGUCCCCUCUCCUAGCCCUGGGGAUGUGGACAUCGCUCAGACUCCUGGGGCCACUGACAACAGUACUCCUGAGGCAAACGCACUCUCCCCAGACCUCCAUAGUAUCUUCCUCAAGCAGGAGUAUCCCUCUCUACCCAGUGUGCCUGAAGAGGAAUGUGAACAGGAUGGACCUGAGACGCUGCCUGAUUCCCCCGACGAUGAUGAACCAUAG
rnacentral:lncRNA from 1 species